AUUGAACGCUGGCGGCAGGCCUAACACAUGCAAGUCGAGCGGAUGAAGGGAGCUUGCUCCUGGAUUCAGCGGCGGACGGGUGAGUAAUGCCUAGGAAUCUGCCUGGUAGUGGGGGAUAACGUCCGGAAACGGGCGCUAAUACCGCAUACGUCCUGAGGGAGAAAGUGGGGGAUCUUCGGACCUCACGCUAUCAGAUGAGCCUAGGUCGGAUUAGCUAGUUGGUGGGGUAAAGGCCUACCAAGGCGACGAUCCGUAACUGGUCUGAGAGGAUGAUCAGUCACACUGGAACUGAGACACGGUCCAGACUCCUACGGGAGGCAGCAGUGGGGAAUAUUGGACAAUGGGCGAAAGCCUGAGCCAGCCAUGCCGCGUGUGUGAAGAAGGUCUUCGGAUUGUAAAGCACUUUAAGUCGGGAGGAAGGGCAGUAAGUUAAUACCUUGCUGUUUUGACGUUACCAACAGAAUAGGCACCGGCUAACUUCGU
rnacentral:rRNA from 1 species